GCACCAGGCCUAAUGGACUCUUAAUCUAGCCCUGAAUAUCUGCCUUACUGGAGGUAUGGCAGGGAAGUCAGGGACCCUUGUUCAGUAUUAAACUGUUCAAAAAUGGUUCAACAGUAAAUGGAGGGGUAGUGCCAAGGUACUUCAGGCACUAUAACCAUUUCAGUGUGAUUAAAUGGUUAUAGUGCCUAGAGUGUCCUUUGACAUUGACUCAAACUAUG